rnacentral:rRNA from 1 species
CACGUAGGAGGCGAGCGUUGUCCGGAAUCAUUGGGCGUAAAGAGCGCGCAGGCGGCUUGGCAAGUCGGGUGUGAAAUCCCGGGGCUCAACCCCGUGACUGCAUCCGAUACUGUCAGGCUAGAGGUAGGUAGGGGAGAUCGGAAUUCCUGGUGUAGCGGUGAAAUGCGCAGAUACCAGGAGGAACACCGGUGGCGAAGGCGGAUCUCUGGGCCUUACCUGACGCUCAGGCGCGAAAGCUAGGGGGAGCGAAACAGG